AACCUCCGCAAUGUGAGAAAUCGCGACGGGGGGAUCCCAAGUGCCAUUCUUAACGGGAUGGCUUUUCAUUAGUGUAAAGAGCUUUUGGAAUAAGAGCUGGGCAAGACCGGUGCCAGCCGCCGCGGUAACACCGGCAGCUCUAGUGGUAACAAUUUUUAUUGGGCCUAAAGCGUCCGUAGCCGGUUUAAUAAGUCUCUGGUGAAAUCCUGUAGCUUAACUGUGGGAAUUGCUGGAGAUACUAUUAGACUUGAGACCGGGAGAGGUUAGAGGUACUCCCAGGGUGGAGGUGAAAUUCUGUAAUCCUGGGAGGACCGCCUGUUGCGAAGGCGUCUAACUGGAACGGUUCUGACGGUGAGGGACGAAAGUUAGGGGCGCGAACCGGGAUUAGAUACCCGGGUAGUCCUAACUGUAAACGAUGCGGACUUGGUGUUGGGGUGGCUUUGAGCUGCUCCAGUGCCGAAGGGAAGCUGUUAAGUCCGCCGCCUGGGAGUACGGUCGCAAGACUGAAACUUAAAGGAAUU
rnacentral:rRNA from 1 species